CACAGGGACCGCCCGGCGCCCUGGGGGACCCACGGCGCCUGGACCGAAAAGCGUGGGGCGAAGGGGCUGCCCAGGCCUGGGUCCCUCUUGAGAACCAGCAGCACUAGAGCCCGGUGUGGUGGUGCAUGCCUGUGAUUGCAGCACCAGGGAGGCUGAGGAAGGAGGAUCUCCAGGCCAGGCUGGGCUACAAAGCGAGACCCUGUCAAACAAACGAACGAACGAACGAACGAGAAAACCAAAAAACAAAGAGGUGAGCGCAGCAGGAGUCACGACCAGGGAGACUGAAGUACAGCGCACAGACGCCAGAGGGAGCCAGAGGCUUCGAGCUCAGACAGGAAACGGGCAGAUGGGAAAUUACGCUGACAAAGCCGGACAGUUUAAAAGGCAGAAUAACAGAAUGCCACAACUGUGAGGAGAGAGGAAGAAGAGGAGGAGGCGGAGGAGGAAGGAGAAGAAAGAGCCCUCAUGACUCUGAACCUGCUGGCACACUGAUCUUGGACAUCCGUGACUCCUCACCACCUUCAAACAAAAGCAGAAGACAAAGCAAAGAACGCUUCAAAGCUUCACAGCUUUACAUCUCCAAGAUAAAAGUGAAGACUAUGCUGUGAUUCAUCUAAAAGACAAAGAGAGCCAGCAGAUUUGAACAAACUUCUCAACAAAACUCAGGGAUCAAGGAAUUGAAUGGUGAGACCUCUAGCUCUGUCUUCGUGGCUGGACUUCUGGAGGCUCUCAGCACCCUGCUUGACUUUCCUGCCACGUGGACUUCUCACUCCAUCUCUGAUGCUAAGAUCAAGUUGAUCAGAACCAGAUGACCAGGACAAGAAGCCGAGGACAGCAGAGAUGAACAGCAAGCCCAAGGGCCUGGACCAGGCCAGCAAAAAUCCAACUUCUCAUGCUCCUUCUUUUAGGAUUCUCUGAUCCUGCCCAGAGAAGCCCUGAUUCAUGGAGGCUCAACGCUGUCAUUCCACCAGCAACCUGCCAGUGGCUGGCUCUGCCAUGGCUGGUCUAUAAAUUCCUUCUCAAAGGAUAAUGAUGCAAUUAUUGUCCUUAUAACUAAUUUCUCCUCAGUACCCCCUUUCAUAGACCUCAAUACGUUACCUACUGAGUUUGUCUGUAUCCUCCUCACACCAAAUGUGUCCUGUGUUUUUUUCUUACCCUACCUAAAGAAUCACCUAUAAUGCUUUCUGUCCCUAAAUCCAAAAACCCCAUGGCUAUAAUAAAAAAAAAAUCAUAAGACUGAGUAAUAGUCAAAGCACUAACAUGUGCCUGUUAAACAUCACCACCUUAGUUCCCAGCUCCAUUAAAUUCUUACAG
rnacentral:lncRNA from 1 species